UCGAAGUCGAUCGAAGUUAGUUAGUCACCACAGACGGCAGUAUGCAUUCGAAAGAAGAGGACUAUAUCAACAACGAGUAUUACGCUCGUAAUCUUCAAUUUUUUAGAUUAAUCGGUCUAUGUGAAUAUCAGGCAUCGUUGAAGCAACUAAUUUAUGUUUAUUUUAUAAAGAUCAUAUUAGCCAUCGCAUUAUUUCCGCAGAUUUAUAUGCUUUUCACGUCAGAAUCAAACAUAAAUGUGAUCACCAAAUCAUUGGAAACAACUCUGCCUACUUUAUGCUUCGGAUCUUGCUAUUGCAAUCUAUUGUCGAAAACUACAAUUGUAUUAAUAUAAUUGUUACAAAUACAUUUUGCAAUUAUAAAUUAUAUACACGUGUGUUAGAAUAGAUAAUUUAUCGUACAACUUUCAGAUUAAGAAAAUUUUGCAUCAUAUCAAAUGUGAUUGGGUAGAUUUUGCAGAUAAGCCGGAGAUAAUGAUACUAAAAAAAUAUGCAAAUAUAAGCAGACAAUCUACUAUUAUAAUCGCAAUCAGUUUUUACAUGUAUAUCGUUUUACUGAUGUUUCCAUCCUUGUUACGUAUCUUUCAAUACAUUUUUGGUGUAAUAAAUGAAACUGAAUUAAUACUACCAGUUCGUGCUGAAUAUUUUAUGAAAAAUCAAUUGUUUUACUUUAUUGCACUUUUGUACGAAUACAUAGGCAUGUGCAUUGUCUGCAUGAUAGGAGUAGCUAAUUACUCAAUGUUCAUAGCAAUUAUACAGCAUGCCUGUGCACUGUUUAAU